AAGGCUUUAGCUUAAUUAAAGCGUCUGUUUUGCAAAUAGAAGAUGUGGGUUAGCAUCCCGUAAGUUUUA
rnacentral:tRNA from 1 species